rnacentral:rRNA from 1 species
UUGAAGAGUUUGAUCAUGGCUCAGAUUGAACGCUGGCGGCAGGCCUAACACAUGCAAGUCGAGCGGUAGCACAGAGAGCUUGCUCUCGGGUGACGAGCGGCGGACGGGUGAGUAAUGUCUGGGAAACUGCCUGAUGGAGGGGGAUAACUACUGGAAACGGUAGCUAAUACCGCAUAAUGUCGCAAGACCAAAGUGGGGGACCUUCGGGCCUCAUGCCAUCAGAUGUGCCCAGAUGGGAUUAGCUAGUAGGUGGGGUAACGGCUCACCUAGGCGACGAUCCCUAGCUGGUCUGAGAGGAUGACCAGCCACACUGGAACUGAGACACGGUCCAGACUCCUACGGGAGGCAGCAGUGGGGAAUAUUGCACAAUGGGCGCAAGCCUGAUGCAGCCAUGCCGCGUGUGUGAAGAAGGCCUUCGGGUUGUAAAGCACUUUCAGCGGGGAGGAAGGCGUUAAGGUUAAUAACCUUGGCGAUUGACGUUACCCGCAGAAGAAGCACCGGCUAACUCCGUGCCAGCAGCCGCGGUAAUACGGAGGGUGCAAGCGUUAAUCGGAAUUACUGGGCGUAAAGCGCACGCAGGCGGUCUGUCAAGUCGGAUGUGAAAUCCCCGGGCUCAACCUGGGAACUGCAUUCGAAACUGGCAGGCUAGAGUCUUGUAGAGGGGGGUAGAAUUCCAGGUGUAGCGGUGAAAUGCGUAGAGAUCUGGAGGAAUACCGGUGGCGAAGGCGGCCCCCUGGACAAAGACUGACGCUCAGGUGCGAAAGCGUGGGGAGCAAACAGGAUUAGAUACCCUGGUAGUCCACGCCGUAAACGAUGUCGAUUUGGAGGUUGUGCCCUUGAGGCGUGGCUUCCGGAGCUAACGCGUUAAAUCGACCGCCUGGGGAGUACGGCCGCAAGGUUAAAACUCAAAUGAAUUGACGGGGGCCCGCACAAGCGGUGGAGCAUGUGGUUUAAUUCGAUGCAACGCGAAGAACCUUACCUGGUCUUGACAUCCACAGAACUUUCCAGAGAUGGAUUGGUGCCUUCGGGAACUGUGAGACAGGUGCUGCAUGGCUGUCGUCAGCUCGUGUUGUGAAAUGUUGGGUUAAGUCCCGCAACGAGCGCAACCCUUAUCCUUUGUUGCCAGCGGUUAGGCCGGGAACUCAAAGGAGACUGCCAGUGAUAAACUGGAGGAAGGUGGGGAUGACGUCAAGUCAUCAUGGCCCUUACGACCAGGGCUACACACGUGCUACAAUGGCAUAUACAAAGAGAAGCGACCUCGCGAGCAAGCGGACCUCAUAAAGUAUGUCGUAGUCCGGAUUGAGUCUGCAACUCGACUCCAUGAAGUCGGAAUCGCUAGUAAUCGUAGAUCAGAAUGCUACGGUGAAUACGUUCCCGGGCCUUGUACACACCGCCCGUCACACCAUGGGAGUGGGUUGCAAAAGAAGUAGGUAGCUUAACCUUCGGGAGGGCGCUUACCACUUUGUGAUUCAUGACUGGGGUGAAGUCGUAACAAGGUAACCGUAGGGGAACCUGCGGUUGGAUCACCUCCUU